rnacentral:rRNA from 1 species
GUAUAUGAGGUGAUUAAUUGGAGGGCAAAUCGAGUGCCAGCAGCCGCGGUAAUACUUGUUCCAAGAGUGUGUAUGAUGAUUGAUGCAGUUAAAAAGUCCGUAGUUUAUUAUUAAGAAGCAAUAUGAGGUGUACUGUAUAGUUGGGAGAGAGAUGAAUUGUGACGACCCUGACUGGACGAACUGAAGCGAAAGCUGUACACUUGUAUGUAUUUUUUGAACAAGGACGUAAGCUGGAGGAUCGAAGAUGAUUAGAUACCAUUGUAGUUCCAGCAGUAAACUAUGCCGACGAUGUGAUAUGAGAUGCUGUAUUACAUUAUAGAAAUUAGAGUUUUUUGGCUCUGGGGAUAGUAUGAUCGCAAGAUUGAAAAUUAAAGAAAUUGACGGAAGAAUACCACAAGGAGUGGAUUGUGCGGCUUAAUUUGACUCAACGCGAGGUAACUUACCAAUAUUUUAUUGUUCGGCGAGGAUAUGAUCUGAGG